GAUUAGUCAUGUAGCCCCACCGAAAUCUUCAAGCUUCUUUGCCGAAUUUGGAAUAGAUAGUGGAUUUCCUAAAAAGUCAAGCUCUAGUUCAUCAAAAGUUCAGAUCCCUGAAAGUAACGAGGCAAGGCAGAAAUUCUCAAAUGCCAAGUCAAUCUCAUCAAGCCAAUUUUAUGGAGAUCAGAACAAAGCUGGUGACAAGGAGGCUCAAGUUUCUCUUCAGAAAUACACGAGUUCGACAUCGAUUUCAAGUGCUGAUCUUUUCGGCCGUGGUGGUAUGGAUGAUUCCAAUCUUGAUU
rnacentral:misc_RNA from 1 species